rnacentral:rRNA from 1 species
CCUACGGGAGGCAGCAGUAAGGAAUAUUGGACAAUGGUCGCAAGACUGAUCCAGCCAUGCCGCGUGCAGGAUGACAGCCCUAUGGGUCGUAAACUGCUUUUGUGCGAGAAAAAACCCCUCUACGUGUAGAGGGCUGAUUGUAUCGUAAGAAUAAGGAUCGGCUAACUCCGUGCCAGCAGCCGCGGUAAUACGGAGGAUCCAAGCGUUAUCCGGAUUCAUUGGGUUUAAAGGGUGCGUAGGCGGAAUGAUAAGUCAGUGGUGAAAGCCUGCAGCUUAACUGCAGAACUGCCAUUGAUACUGUCAAUCUUGAGUACAUUUGAUGUGGGCGGAAUGUGUCAUGUAGCGGUGAAAUGCUUAGAUAUGACACAGAACACCGAUUGCGAAGGCAGCUCACAAAACUGUAACUGACGCUGAGGCACGAAAGCGUGGGUAUCAAACAGGAUUAGAUACCCUGGUAGUCCACGCUGUAAACUAUGAUUACUCGAUGUUUGCGAUACACUGUAAGCGUCUAAGCGAAAGCGAUAAGUAAAUCCACCUGGGAGUACGGCUGCAGAGUUGAAAUUAAAGGGAAUUGACCGGGNGNGAGACGNGCGAGACGACGACGAAGGGGAGGAAGG